rnacentral:misc_RNA from 1 species
CCGAGUUAUACAACUCAUCAACCCUGUGAACAUACCUAUAACGUUGCCUCGGCGGGAACAGACGGCCCCGUAACACGGGCCGCCCCCGCCAGAGGACCCCUAACUCUGUUUCUAUAAUGUUUCUUCUGAGUAAACAAGCAAAUAAAUUA